rnacentral:misc_RNA from 1 species
UCUCCACAGUUACGUGGUAGGAUACGCAACCCUAUGAUCCGGCCCUCRUGGAGGAKGAGACAUGCUCUCUCCGAAAUGGCGAUAACCGGGUACAUGUCUUGCCUCUACCUCUCCACAGUUACGUGGUAGGAUACGCAACCCUAUGAUCYGGCCCUCAUGGAGGAUGAGACAUGCUCUGUMUGAAAUGGCKAUAACCGGGUACAUGUCUUGCCUCUACCUCUCCACAGUUACGUGGUAGGAUACGCAACCCUAUGAUCUGGCCCUCAUGGAUGAUGAGACAUUCCCAAUGCUCUCUSUGAAAUGGGCGAUAAACCGGGUACAUGUCUUGCCUCUACCUCUCCACAGUUACGUGGUAGGAUAUGCAACCCUAUGAUCCGGCCCUCAUGGAGGAUGAGACAUGCCCGCUCAAAGCGACAACUGGGCUUCGGCAAGUUGCGUUUGUCUUUCCACGCAAGUGGAAUUGCAGGGUAACUACCGACGCUGGACGUCACCGA